AGGACACUUGACAUACAUGCAUAUAGCCCGUUAGCAUAAUGUGGGAGGACACUUGACGUACAUGCAUAUAGCCCGUUAGCAUAAUGUGAGAGGACACUUGACGUACAUGCAUAUAGCCCGUUAGCAUAAUGUGAGAGGACACUUGACGUACAUGCAUAUAGCCCGUUAGCAUAAUGUGGGAGGACACUUGACGUACAUGCAUAUAGCCUGUUAGCAUAAUGUGGGAGGACACUUGACGUACAUGCAUAUAGCCCGUUAGCAUAAUGUGGGAGGACACUUGACGUACAUGCAUAUAGCCGGUUAGCAUAAUGUGGGAGGACACUUGACGUACAUGCAUAUAGCCCGUUAGCAUAAUGUGGGAGGACACUUGACGUACAUGCAUAUAGCCCGUUAGCAUAAUGUGGGAGGACACUUGACGUACAUGCAUAUAGCCUGUUAGCAUAAUGUGGGAGGACACUUGACGUACAUGCAUAUAGCCCGUUAGCAUAAUGUGAGAGGACACUUGAUGUACAUGCAUAUAGCCCGUUAGCAUAAUGUGGGAGGACACUUGACGUACAUGCAUAUAGCCCGUUAGCAUAAUGUGGGAGGACACUUGACGUACAUGCAUAUAGCCCGUUAGCAUAAUGUGAGAGGACACUUGAUGUACAUGCAUAUAGCCCGUUAGCAUAAUGUGGGAGAACACUUGACGUACAUGCAUAUAGCCCGUUAGCAUAAUGUGGGAGGA